AGCAGCCGCGGUAAUUCCAGCUCCAAUAGCGUAUAUUAAAGUUGUUGCAGUUAAAAAGCUCGUAGUUGAAUUUCGGGAUUGGCGCAUUGGUCGUGCCUUACGGGGUAUGAACUGGUGCAGUCAAUUUCUCACCUUCUGGAGAACCGCGAUGUCCUUAAUUGGGUGCCGCGGGGAACCAGGACCUUUACUUUGAAAAAAUUAGAGUGUUUAAAGCAGGCAUUUUUGCUUGAAUACAUUAGCAUGGAAUAAUAAAAUAGGACGGCAUGGUUCUAUUUUGUUGGUUUCUAGGACCACCGUAAUGAUUAAUAGGGAUAGUUGGGGGCAUUAGUAUUCAAUUGUCAGAGGUGAAAUUCUUGGAUUUAUUGAAGACUAACUACUGCGAAAGCAUUUGCCAAGGAUGUUUUCAUUAAUCAAGAACGAAAGUUAGGGGAUCGAAGACGAUCAGAUACCGUCGUAGUCUUAACCAUAAACUAUGCCGACUAGGAAUCAGACGAUGUUAAUUUUUAAUGACUCGUUUGGC
rnacentral:rRNA from 1 species